UCCGUGUUGACCCCGGCAGUCUCCUAUGAGUCCCCACCAUUACGUGCUGGCAACAUACGACGAGGGUUGCGCUCGUUGCGGGACUUAACCCAACAUCUCACGACACGAGCUGACGACAACCAUGCACCACCUGUCACCGGCCCCGAAGGACCCCGCAUCUCUGCGAGAUUUCCGGCGAUGUCAAACCCAGGUAAGGUUCUUCGCGUUGCAUCGAAUUAAUCCGCAUGCUCCGCCGCUUGUGCGGGCCCCCGUCAAUUCCUUUGAGUUUUAGCCUUGCGGCCGUACUCCCCAGGCGGGGCGCUUAAUGCGUUAGCUGCGGCACGGAGGACGUGGAAAGUCCCCCACACCUAGCGCCCAACGUUUACGGCGUGGACUAC
rnacentral:misc_RNA from 1 species